rnacentral:rRNA from 1 species
GAUGAACGCUAGCGGGAGGCCUAACACAUGCAAGCCGAGCGGUAUUUGUUCUUCGGAACAGAGAGAGCGGCGCACGGGUGCGGAACACGUGUGCAACCUGCCUUUAUCUGGGGGAUAGCCUUUCGAAAGGAAGAUUAAUACCCCAUAAUAUAUUGAGUGGCAUCAUUUGAUAUUGAAAACUCCGGUGGAUAGAGAUGGGCACGCGCAAGAUUAGAUAGUUGGUGAGGUAACGGCUCACCAAGUCAAUGAUCUUUAGGGGGCCUGAGAGGGUGAUCCCCCACACUGGUACUGAGACACGGACCAGACUCCUACGGGAGGCAGCAGUGAGGAAUAUUGGACAAUGGGUUAGCGCCUGAUCCAGCCAUCCCGCGUGAAGGACGACGGCCCUAUGGGUUGUAAACUUCUUUUGGAUAGGGAUAAACCUACUCUCGUGAGAGUAGCUGAAGGUACUAUACGAAUAAGCACCGGCUAACUCCGUG